rnacentral:rRNA from 1 species
AUUGAACGCUGGCGGCAGGCCUAACACAUGCAAGUCGAGCGGUUGAAGGGAGCUUGCUCCCUGAUUCAGCGGCGGACGGGUGAGUAAUGCCUAGGAAUCUGCCUAUUAGUGGGGGACAACGUUUCGAAAGGAACGCUAAUACCGCAUACGUCCUACGGGAGCAAGCAGGGGACCUUCGGGCCUUGCGCUAAUAGAUGAGCCUAGGUCGGAUUAGCUAGUUGGUGAGGUAAUGGCUCACCAAGGCGACGAUCCGUAACUGGUCUGAGAGGAUGAUCAGUCACACUGGAACUGAGACACGGUCCAGACUCCUACGGGAGGCAGCAGUGGGGAAUAUUGGACAAUGGGCGAAAGCCUGAUCCAGCCAUGCCGCGUGUGUGAAGAAGGUCUUCGGAUUGUAAAGCACUUUAAGUUGGGAGGAAGGGUUGUAGAUUAAUACUCUGCAAUUUUGACGUUACCGACAGAAUAAGCACCGGCUAACUCUGUGCCAGCCGCCGCUGUAAAAC